rnacentral:miRNA from 1 species
GUUGCGGGUCUCCCCGCGCUCCCACUUCCCUUCCACCCGCCGGAGCUGGGGCCGGGGCCGAGGCCGGGGCCGGGGCC